rnacentral:misc_RNA from 1 species
GCGGGCGGCAAGGGAGUGAGAGGGGCCACGGUUGGAGAGAGAGUUGAGGGCAACCUCAGCAGCGGAGUGUUCAGCCUGGCGCAGGGUGGAGCAAUAGUGGGGGCUCUCGAAGAUCUCGCCGUUGAAGUUAACGGUAGCCUUGAAUCUGGGGGCGUGGUCAGGGCCUUCCCUUAUGCAGGUAUAAGAGGGAAGGUUGAAGCAGCUCCUCUGGGCCAGCUCCUGCAGCUGGUU